rnacentral:lncRNA from 1 species
CUUUAUUGCACUUUUCUUUGCUGUUGUUACAAAUUACUCGACCUACAGCAGUUGGCAGAGUAUCCCUGUAAAUUAGUCACUGGAUAACCAGGGAAUUUAUGCAGUGAAUUCAUAUUUAUAGAUAGUUUGUUAGUUUUACAGUUCAUGGUUAUUACAAACAUUUUACAAACUAUAUUGUUUCCUGAUUACGGAAAGUGUACAGUUUUGUCCGGUUUUG